GGUGAACGCUAGCGACAGGCCUAACACAUGCAAGUCGAGGGGCAUCGGGACGUAGCAAUACGUUGCCGGCGACCGGCGGAUGGGUGAGUAACGCGUAUGCAACCUACCCGUAGCAGGGGGAUAGCCCGUUGAAAGACGGAUUAAUACCCCGUAACACAGGGGCUCCGCAUGGAGAUUAUUGUUAAAGGGUCAUUUCUUUUUCAGGGAUGGUCCGGCUGCGGAUGGGCAUGCGUUCCAUUAGGUAGUUGGUGUAGGUAAUUGCUCACCAAGCCGACGAUGGAUAGGGGAACUGAGAGGUUGGUCCCCCACACUGGUACUGAGACACGGACCAGACUCCUACGGGAGGCAGCAGUGAGGAAUUUUGGUCAACGGAUGCAAGUCUGAACCAGCCAUGUCGCGUGAAGGAGGACGGCCCUAAGGGUUGUAAACUUCUUUUGCAGUGGAAUAAAGUUUGCCACGUGUUGGCGAUUUGCAAGUACGCUGCGAAUAAGGAUCGGCUAACUCCGUGCCAGCAGCCGCGGUAAUACGGAGGAUCCAGGCGUUAUCCGGAUUUAUUGGGUUUAAAGGGUGCGCAGGCGGGGAAUUAGGUCGGCGGUGAAAUUUCGGGGCUCAACCUCGACAGUGCCGUUGAAACCGUUUCUCUUGAGUGCGGAUGAGGUAGGCGGAAUUUGUGGUGUAGCGGUGAAAUGCGUAGAUAUCACAAGGAACACCGAUUGCGGAGGCAGCUUACUAAACCGUUACUGACGCUCAUGCACGAAGGCGUGGGGAUCAAACAGG
rnacentral:rRNA from 1 species